UACGUAGGGUGCGAGCGUUGUCCGGAAUUAUUGGGCGUAAAGAGCUCGUAGGCGGUCUGUCGCGUCGAUCGUGAAAACUUGGGGCUUAACCCUGAGCUUGCGGUCGAUACGGGCAUGACUGGAGUUCGGCAGGGGAGACUGGAAUUCCUGGUGUAGCGGUGAAAUGCGCAGAUAUCAGGAAGAACACCCGUGGCGAAGGCGGCUCUCUGGGACGGUACUGACGCUGAGACGCGAAAGCGUGGGGAGCGAACAGG
rnacentral:rRNA from 1 species